rnacentral:rRNA from 1 species
UACAGGGGGUGCAAACGUUGCUCGGAAUCAUUGGGCGUAAAGCGCACGUAGGCGGUUCGUUAUGUCGGAUGUGAAAGCCCUUGGCUUAACCGAGGAAGUGCAUCCGAAACUGGCGAGCUAGAGUACUAAAGAGGAUCGCGGAAUUCCCGGUGUAGAGGUGAAAUUCGUAGAUAUCGGGAGGAACACCGGUGGCGAAGGCGGCCUUCUGGACCAGCACUGACACUCAAGCACGAAAGCGUGGGGAGCAAACAGG